GAUGAAGAACGUAGCGAAAUGCGAUAAGUAAUGUGAAUUGCAGAAUUCAGUGAAUCAUCGAAUCUUUGAACGCACAUUGCGCCCGCCAGUAUUCUGGCGAGCAUGCCUGUUCGAGCGUCAUUUCAACCAUCAAGCCCCAGGCUUGUGUUGGAGCCCUGCGGCUGCCGCAGCCUCCCAAAACCAGUGGCGGGCUCGCUAUCACACCGAGUGCAGUAGUUUGCUCUUCGCUCAGGGCGUGUGGCGGGUGCUAGCCGUGAAACCCCCAACUUCUCAAGGUUGACCUCGGAUCAGGUAGGAAUACCCGCUGAACUUAAGCAUAUCAAUAAGCGGAGGA
rnacentral:misc_RNA from 1 species